rnacentral:rRNA from 1 species
GACGAACGCUGGCGGCGUGCCUAACACAUGCAAGUCGAGCGGGGACUUAUGGAAUGAAGCUUCGGCAGAAUGAAGUAAGUUCUAGCGGCGGACGGGUGAGUAAUGCAUAGGAAUCUGCCCGGUAGUGGGGGAUAACCUGGGGAAACCCAGGCUAAUACCGCAUACGUCCUACGGGAGAAAGCAGGGGACCUUCGGGCCUUGCGCUAUCGGAUGAGCCUAUGUCGGAUUAGCUGGUUGGUGAGGUAAUGGCUCACCAAGGCGACGAUCCGUAGCUGGUCUGAGAGGAUGAUCAGCCACAUUGGGACUGAGACACGGCCCAG